rnacentral:rRNA from 1 species
CUACGGGGCGCAGCAGUCGAGAAUAGUCUACAAUGGACGAAAGUCUGAUAGUGCAACGCCGCGUGGGUGAUGAAGCAUUUCGGUGUGUAAAACCCUUUUCUUUGUGAGCAAUGCCAUUAUGGUUAAUAGCUAUAGUGGAGCGAUAUUAGCAGAGGAAUAAGCCACGGCUAACUCCGUGCCAGCAGCCGCGGUAACACGGGGGUGGCGAGCGUUGUCCGGAAUCACUAGGCGUAAAGGGCAGGUAGGCGGAAUAUCUAGUCAUUUGUUAAAGGCAUUGGCUCAACCAAUGUACGGCAUAUGAUACUGGUAUUCUAGAAUUUGGUAUGGGAAGACGGAAUUCCUGGUGUAGCGGUGGAAUGCGCAGAUAUCAGGAAGAACACCGGAGGCGAAGGCGGUCUUCUGGGCCAAAAUUGACGCUCAACUGCGAAGGUGUGGGUAUCAAACAGGAUUAGAUACCCCGUAGUC